GGCCCUACGGGGCGCAGCAGCUACGAAAACUGCCCAAUGUGGGAAACACGAGGCGGGCAUUCCGAGUGCCAACGCAUUGUGUUGGCUGUUCUUUUGCCUAAAAAGCGAGAGAAGUAAGGGCCGGGUAAGACGGGUGCCAGCCGGCGCGGUAAUACCCGCGGCCCGAGUGGUGCUCUUUGUUAUUGAGCUUAAAGCGUCCGUAGCCGGCCUUGUAAAUCCUUGGGUAAAAUCAAACAGCUCAACUGUUCGAAUUCCGAGGAGACUGCAAGGCUCGGGACCGGGAGAGGCUAGAGGUACUCUCGGGGUAGGGGUAAAAUCCUGUAAUCCUGAGAGGACCACCAGUGGCGAAGGCGUCUAGCUAGAACGGAUCCGACGGUGAGGGACGAAGCCCUGGGGCGCAAACGGGAUUAGAUACCCCGGUAGUCCAGGGUGUAAACGCUGCCGUUUUCGUCUAUCUCGUGGUCCUACGAGGGCGUCCGGUGCCGGAGAGA
rnacentral:rRNA from 1 species